UGAGGAAUAUUGGUCAAUGGGCGAGAGCCUGAACCAGCCAAGUAGCGUGCAGGAUGACGGCCCUAUGGGUUGUAAACUGCUUUUAUAUGGGAAUAAAGUGAGGGACGUGUCCCUUAUUGCAUGUAGCAUACGAAUAAGGACCGGCUAAUUCCGUGCCAGCAGCCGCGGUAAUACGGAAGGUCCAGGCGUUAUCCGGAUUUAUUGGGUUUAAAGGGAGCGUAGGCUGUUUGUUAAGCGUGUUGUGAAAUGUAAGAGCUCAACUUUUAGAUUGCAGCGCGAACUGGCAGACUUGAGUGCGCACAACGUAGGCGGAAUUCAUGGUGUAGCGGUGAAAUGCUUAGAUAUCAUGACGAACUCCGAUUGCGAAGGCAGCUUACGGGAGCGCAACUGACGCUAAAGCUCGAAGGUGCGGGUAUCGAACAGG
rnacentral:rRNA from 1 species